rfam:Operophtera brumata OBRT01_Sc18166, whole genome shotgun sequence.
CGUUCUAUGGCCAAAUUGGUAAAGGCAUCGCCGAUCACAGGAGAGGUUGUGGGUUCGAGUCCCGCUGGAACGA